GUCUGCUCGGCCAACGCCGGCUCGCAAAACACGCUGCCCCCGCUGCGGCGCUUCCAUGGUGACGGGCCGCGGGCCGUCGGCGCUCUUUUCAAACCCCGGUACCGCGAAAGAAAACAUGUCAACCCAAACUAGUUGUUGACUAUCGAACAUUAACGGAGGGCAACAUGUUACGCUCCACGCAGUCCAGCGCGAGUUAUUGACCCGAAGAGAGACGUUUACGUCGGUUAUGUAGAGCCGUUAGUCCCGCAAACUGUCCCCGCGAUCACGUGGUUGAGCGCCGCCAACAUGAACAACAACGCGGAGAGGAAGUUCGUGAAUCUGCGGAAGCGUCUGGACCAGCUGGGCUACCGGCACCCGCUGGGCAUCGAGUCACUGCCGCUGGUGGAGAAGCUGUUCGGUGACCUGAUCCAUACAACGGAAAGCCUGCGCAACCUCAAGCUGUCAGCGGGGAAAACCGAGGAAGAAACGCAAACCUUCGACGCCCUUCUGGAGCCGUACAGGGCGGAGAACGCCCGAGUGGUCCGGGAGAACAACGAGCUGCACCUGGAACUUCUCAAGCUGAAGGAGGAGAAGGAUCGAGUCGGCAGAGAGCUGAAGACCCACAUCAGGAAACUGGGCCACGAGACCUCUGACCUGAAGUUCUUAAAUAACCAGUAUGCGCACAAAGUCCGCUGCUUGGAAAAGGACAGCAAGGCGAAAGCUGAGCGCAUCCAACAGCUGCAGGAGAAGAACAUGCAAGCCGUGGUGCAGACGCCGGGUGGGAAGAAGCGCAGCAUCCCGUUCAGACGGCAAAGGAUGCAGAUCGAUGAGCUCACACCUCGCUCCUCCACAUCGGCCUAUCCCGCCCCGCAGCCCGAUGACCCGUACAUAGCCGACCUGCUGCACAUGGCCGAUGGAAGGAUCCAGGAGCUGCAGGAUGACAUCAGAGAGGUCAAACUAGACCUGGAAAACGCUCAAGAGUUUAUAAAACACUUAAAAACGCAGGUGGAGGAGCGGGACAAAGAGAUCGAACGCAUGAACCGCGCUCUUCGUGGAGGACGGCCUCAUGAUGUCAUUUCCAUCGAGGCCCAGAACAUCAGCAACGAGAAGUUGAUUGCGCAUCUCAACCUUCAGAUCGAGUACCUGCAGGAGACCAACAGGACUCUGGAUCAGAAGGUCGACGCGCUGCAGCAGAAGAAGGAUGACGCCUCCAACAAAGUGGCCAACCUGUCCUUGAAGAACCUGGAGCUGUGCGAGGAGCUAACGCACGUGGACGACCUGGCCCAGCGGCUGGAGAUGGACAAGGAGCACGUGCUGGAGACCGCCGACAUGGAGCUGCAAGAAAGCAAAAGAGAGAUUCAAAGGCAACAGAGAACCAUUGAAGACCUGGAGGAUAUCAUCACAACAUUAAGACGGGAGCAGUCGGAAGGAAACUUUGAAAAAGGCCGUCUGUGCGAUGAGCUGCUGGUCCUCAGAGAGCAGAAGGAGAAGAUGGAGGGACUGGUGAACUUCCUUGAGGAGGAGAAGCUCCGGCUGAAGGACAAAAUGGAGAACAUGAUGUCUGCUGACAAAGACCUGGUCCUGGAGCUGGAGACCAUGCGGGCCAAGCACGGCGUUUGUGGACGGGAGCGCUCCCCGUCGCGCCUCGAUGCCUUCGUCAAGAGUCUGGAGGAGGAGCGGGAUCGCUACCGGCAGGAGGCCGACCGCUACAGGAGAGCCGGGGGGGGCGGGGGGCCGGACUCGAGCCCCAGUCGGAGUCCUCGGUCGAAAGUGGGGGGCGUCGCAGAGGCGGAGCUGCUCCGCUUGGUGAAGGAACGCAACGAGCUGAAGGCGUCUCUGCUGGACUUUGAGGAGCACUUGGAGGACAUCCAGAACAAGGUGAAGGACCUCAGCUCGGAGAGAGACCGCUUCAAGGCCCUCUGGAGACGGGCUCAAGAGGACCUGCAGCUGGCCGGUGGAGCAGACGGGUCAGCUGACCUGCUGACGCUGCAGCAGGAGGUGAAACGAGCCGAGACCAGAAUCCAGCAGAUCACCACAGAAAGAGACGCUCUGCUGGAGAGAGGGAGGGAGGAGAGGAGGGACCUGGAGGACGCCGUGAAGACCUUGGAGCGGGAGAGACUGGAGCUGAGGUCCCAGGUGGGUCUGCUGCAGGAGAACAGGGAGGCUGCCGAGGAGGAGCUGAGGCUUCGCUCUGCCGCUGUGGUCCAGAAUGCUGAGGAGGUUUCUCAUCAGAGGGCCCAGACCAGCGCGCUGAGGCUGCUGCAGGAGCAGACGGAGCAGUCGCUGUCUGACACCCAGCGCCGACUGUCUGUGAAGACCAGCGAGCUGCAAGCUGCACGUCAGCACAUCCGGGAGCUGGAGGAGACGAUGGGAGAGCUGAGUCAGCGGGGCUCCAAGCACAAAGAGGACGUGGCUGGUCUUCAGAAGUCCGUGUCGGCUCUGGACAGAGAGAAGGACGCUCUGCAGGACGAGGUGGACGAGAAGACCGAGAAACUGGUGGCUCUCCAGGAGGAGCUUUGUGAAAAGGAGCAGGCCCUCAAAGACAUGAGGCUCACAGUCACAAACAUGGACGCCUCUUUAGCCCAGCUGCAGGGGGCGCUGCUCAGCCGCGAGAGGGAGAUCGCCAGCAUGAGGAGGCAGCUGGACGCAGGUCACGAGGAGCUGGCCGGACUCCGGAGGGACAAAGACGUCACCGUGAGAGAGAACCGGAGGCUGCAAGACGACCUGGCCACCAUGACCCGAGAGAACCAGGCUGUGCACGUGGAGAUGGAGGAGGUGUUGCACGAGAAGGAUGAGCUGAAGAUGAGGGUCCACUCGUACAUUUCUGAAGUGUCCCGAAUAGAGAAGCUGAUCAACACAAAGGAGCAGGAGAACAGGGACCUGCUGGAGCGAUUCAGGAUGGCCCACUCGGAGGUGGAGCAGCAGGAGCAGAAGCUGCAGCAGGCCGAAGGCCUCAACAGCUCCAUCCGCCUGGAGCUGCUGUCCUCGGACGCCGAGCGCCGACACCUGCGCGACACCGUCGGCUCCCAGGGGAGGGAAAUCCAACAGCACACGCAGGCCCUGCAGGCCUACGAGGCCCAGGUGUCGUCUCUGGUGCGCGGGAUGUCCCGCCUGGAGGAGGAGCUGCAAGGAGCCCGGGAGGAGAAGGCGGAGCUCCUCUCCGACCUGGCGUCCGUCAGGGAGCUGUGCGUCAAGCUGGACUCCGACAAGGAGCUCGCUGUACGUCAGCUCACCUCCAGGAGCAUGGACCUGGAGAGGGUCACAGGAGAACUGGAGGACCUUCGGUCGGAGGCGGAGCUUCUUAAAAAGCAAAUGACCAGUGAGAGGCUGACCGUCCGCAACCUGGAGACCCUCCUCUCGUCCAAUCGGCACAAGGAGUUCCAAACCCACCUGACGGCCAGCGAGAAGGAGUCCGAGCUCAAGGUCCUCCGGGACAGACUGACUCUCGCCGACAGCAAAACGGCGGAGCAUUCCAGGGAGGUGUCCCAGCUCCGCGCCAGAGUGUCCGAGCUGCAGAUGGAGAUGGACGUCCUGAAGAGACAGCUGACCAGCGAGCGCUUUGAGCGAGAGCGCGCCGUGCAGGAGAUGCGUCGACAGGGAGUUUCCUUCUCGUCGUCCCUCGACGCCUCGGCCGCUUCUCACGCCUCCCCCGAGCGCUCCAUCCUCCGGACCCCGAGCCGCUCCGCCCCGCGGCCCGCAGACAGGUGAGGCUUCGGGCUCGAGGUUUGAGCCUGGGCCGGGACAUUUUAAAGCAAACCAAGGAGCGUGAGCUUCAAGGAUUAACAGCCAGAGAAGGAUCUGAUCAUGCAGGUCUUUAAUGUGAACGUUCCAAACACGUCUGUGUUGUUUCUAUCUGACUCCACUGUCUGAAGGUUAGUUCUUCUGACAAAUACGACCCGUGUGCGUUUG